GACCUGGUGGUGAAAUGUAUCACACCCACUCUGCCUAUGGUUGUUGCAAUUGCCUGCCGUGGGAGUCCUUGGUUCGAGUCCAGGUCAGGUCA